GAAUGUGAGGGCAAUCUGGCUCCAACAUGUUGCCCCAUUGAUUGCCAGCAUUCAUUCUGGCUGAUCUGACUGAGUAGGCAGGUGUCCCCUUCCUCCCUUGAUGCUCCAUGUGAGUCCCUCCUGAAGCCGCGUGCUCAGUUGAAGAGGAUGACCACCCCUGAUAGAGGAAGACUGCUCCUUGUUCAAGGAUAUAUGAGUAACUUCACUCCCCUUCUAGAACCUCCAAACAAGCUCUCCUGUACUAAACUACAGUCAAAAUGGAUCAAAUACUUAAAUACUAACAGUGAAACUCU
rnacentral:snRNA from 1 species